UUGAGACCGGAGAUAGAAGUAUCCCAAGUCUUAGGGGUGUAGAAAAGAAAAGAAAGAAAAAAGUUGUAAUACUAAGUGGAUUGUAUUUGGAAAUUGAAUGUAAAUGUAAAAUGCAUGUAAUGUGAAUGCUUGUAAUAGCUUAGUGGUUGUUUUAUGGUAUGGAUACCUUCCUUAUGCAAUCAUGUAUGAAUUCUGUUCCUGGUUGGAACCUCGCGAAUUGUAUUGUACUGUUGCAACGCCUUGGACGUACAAGAGAGACUCUAUCCGUUCGGCGGUCUGUCGACGCGCCCGAGUUUGACCAAAGAGGCUGGUCUCGGGUCGUAACAGAUAAGAUGGUAUCAGAGAAUAAAGAAAAUAGUUUAGGCG
rnacentral:lncRNA from 1 species